CUUGUCUUGUGCUGCUGGGCGAAAAAUGCUGGAGUCAAAAAGGAAGGGCUUGAACAAGUUGAAGGACGAUUUGGAAAACUGGAGAGAGAUACUAUUGAUUCUCUAUGAUUUAUCUCAGUGGAAACUUCCUUACAGCCCGGUUAUAUUAGGCAGUACUAUUUCCGUGUUUUAUCUACUUCUGUGGUGGCUUGACUUGACCAUCAUUACCCAAUUUUCUAUUCUUCUACUAUUGUGGAUUCUUAUCAACUUUUUUUAUCCGACUAUCGCGAUAGUUUUCUUCAAACCCGAAAAAUGGACAGGAAUUCAGGAGAAACAACUGGAGAUAGUUAUUAUUACGAUUUUGGAUUUAAGCGAAUCUGCUACUGAAUUUUGGAACACUGUUUUCUGGGACAAAAAUAACAAGACAAUGGCGCAUUUAUUGAAUGUUAGCGGAACGUUGUUGGGUUUAGCAUGGAUCGGAGCAAGUAUGAACAACUUAUUGCUUAUUUACUUAAUAACAAU